rnacentral:rRNA from 1 species
UACGUAGGCAGCGAGCGUUGUUCGGAGUUACUGGGCGUAAAGGGUGUGUAGGCGGUUCUCUAAGUUUGGCGUGAAAUCUCCCGGCUCAACUGGGAGGGUGCGCCGAAAACUGGGGGGCUUCGAGUGCGGGAUGGGAGAGUGGAAUUCCUGGUGUAGCGGUGAAAUGCGUAGAUAUCAGAAGGAACACCGGUGGUGUAGACGGCUCUCUGGACCGUAACUGACGCUGAGACACGAAAGCGUGGGUAGCAAACAGG